ACGUGAUGGAAUUUCAAGGACUAGACAAGGAGAGACUAGACUAGGCGAGCGAGCGAGACUAGGGUACUGGGUACUCAGACUACUCACUGAGUCUGAGUUGAUAUUGAAGGUAAAGUGGACUCUGGAAGAACUCGUCAAGAAUUAAUUACUAAAAGAGUCAACUCCAACAUGCUACGUAUGCCUCUACGUGUUUUUACCCUGGCCAAAGCAAGGCAGCAAGAGUUGGCUAACAUAUCAUAUGGAGGACAUA